UCCAGGUGCGGGGAGGAGACGAGACUCCUGAAGUGCACCUGACCGCAUCUGCUCUGGAGUAAGUGGGCAGCAGUGAAGGGGCUGAUGUCUGUGGUGAAAGCCCGUCGGUCACGUGCUGCCUGGUGCUGUGUUCUUGUGACCUGUCAAAAGGGGACAAAUGGGCUUGUGUGCUGCUCUCACCUCCCCGCCUCCAGCCCGUGCCGUGUAUAAUAAAGGCUGGAAAGGGCUUAUGAGCAGGGCCGGCUCCAGGUACCAGCCCACCAAGCAUGUGCUUGGGGCAGCGCGCUGGCUGGGCUCGCCACCCUCCCCCGGGUGCUCCGGCCGGUCGGGGAGAGCCGAGAGCCGUGGCGCCCUCCCCCCAGCACUCUGGCCGCCGGGGCGAGCAGAAAGCCCCGGCCCGGGCUCUCCGCUCUCCUUCUGGCGCUCCGGCCGGUCAGGGAUUGCGGGUUCUCGGCGCCCUCCCCUGCCGUGCUGAGCCAGCCCUGCUUAUGAGAUUGGUGUGUGGGGAGAGGGAUUCUUUCCUCUUCUGUUUUACCCCUAGAAAUAUCAAGUCUGGCUCCCCUGGGUUUGCUGGAGAACCCUUGAGGUUUCCGGGGCUGCACUGUGGACAGGCGGUGGCCUACUGGCUAAGGUACCAGGCUGGCACGCAGGCGGGCUGGCUGUUUCUUUUCCUGGCUCUGCACGUGUUAGAGCUGUGUGAUUUGGGACAAAUUAUUAAAUUUUAUGUGCUUAAAUCUUCCCUGCUGAAAAGUGGAGCUGAUGCUUAGGCACCUUUUGUUAAACACUUGUGGAUGAAAAAUGCUGUAUAAAGCAGUAUAAAAAUGCUGUAUGAGCUUUUGCGUCUCUUCCUUGGGGGCUGGGGUGGUGGGAUCUUUACAGAUGGGCUUUCCCUGUUAAACCUUGGCGUUAAAUAGGAGUUAAAACAUCUUAAACUGCUGGAGGAAAAAUCUUUCAGCCUCAGUUGCUCAGUUUUCAAUUUUUUUCCCUUGUACUUUCAUAAUCCCUUCAGUAGUCAUAAACAGAGUUUCCAGAUAGACAAAACCUGAAUUUUUAGUCUUUAAGAAAGUGAAAAAAAAUCCUUUCAGGUCUUCUUCAUAUCUCACAAAGCAGCAUAAAAGUUUAUGGAACCCUUCUCCCUUUGUAGUUCACCUUUUUAAUAGCACCCCGUGUUCUGUGUAGUGACCCUGUUGUACAGGCAGGAUUCUUCUUCCCUGCAACUGCGAAAGAGAAUGUUCUUUUAUUAUUAAUUACAUGUUGAGAGUGUGCACAAUAUUGCACAACACCCAAAGAUAGUUUCCUGUGCUAAAGAAAGUGCUUUUUUGUAUUUAUAUUUCAGUUAUAGAGCACCUUUAAUCAUGAAGGAUCUCAGAGAAUUUUACAGACUUCAGCUGAUAACCAGAGGAAUAAUUUUUCCCAGUGGUGACUGUACUUUGAUGGUAGAAAAACUGAUCAGUUGUUCAGCUGGGCAUAGCAGUUCUCCAUAACAAUAUAAUAAAUGAAGUGAAAAAUACCAUUUGGAAACUGCAGCUGUCUGUAGGUAGGCAGAAUGUAAAUGAGAAAUUGUCCCUAAGAUUACCGCUCCCCCCCCCCGCCCCUCUGGAAUUGGGUGGCAUUUCCUUUUUACUCUGUAACUGGCAUGUUUCUGUAAUUCUGAAAGACUCUUCUUAAUGCUGUAUGAUUGAAUAUGACCAUUUACAUCAUUGAUAUUACCACUGUUAUAUAAUUGCAACAAAUUGCAACAAAUCUUAUACAAAGUAUGUCAUGUAAGUGUCAAUCCAGGUAUCAUCUUUGUAUCUGAAGUUAUGAAUAUUGGUCAUGGACUUGUAUCUGAUACAUGUGUUAUAGUCCUGGGUAACACCUACCAGACAGGAUUUACAUUGGUACCAGACAGCUAUGUAGUGAUGGUCCAUCAAGGACACUUCACUCUCCCAGUGGGCCAUAGAAGAAACUCAUCCUGCCCAAAUAGCUGUAUGGUCUUCCUGCUGAUGCAUCAGUUUCCAAGGGGCCAAUAGCCACCUCCUGUGAGUCAUCAAAGCAUGUAACAGCAUGUGAUACUCUCAUAUGACCCUGGACUCCAUCUUGGCCCAGUAAUUUUCCAUGCACCUGGGCUGUGAGUUUAGUUGGGACAGCACAUGGCAGAGGAUAUAUAAGGACCCUGACAUAUCCAUUUUUGUCUUCAUUUUCUCUAGACUGGAUUUCUAGCAAGGAAGUUCUAAACAAGGACUAAUGACCUCCAACCUGUUUGGAUGAAUUUAUUGCAUGACCUUGUCAUGCAUCUGAUGCAAAGUCACCAUUUUGCAGACGGGUAUUAAAAGUGAAUUGCAAGAGAGAUUCAACAGUCAUUCAACUAAUUUCAACAGUCAAAAUUCUUCCUUUUGUCAUGGAAAAUGACUAAACCUUUUACUGAUGGCACAAAAACACAGGUGACCAUGAAUGAUAUCACUCUCCUGAGGCUCUACCUCAUCUUGUGUUUUAUUCGUUAGGACAUUGAUCUAUAAGCAUUCAAGAUGACUUUCUUCCAGUGCCAGUGACUCAGAAGCAGGAAAGAGAGAAGAGCUAUAUCUUCUUACUUUAGAUUUCAUCUGACUCAUACCCAGGCUCAGAAUAAAGAAUUGCAGAGCGCCGCAUACUAUGGAAAUUGCCCCGCCUUCCUUAAACUAGACAGCAUUUGAAAUGCAAGAAUAUUGCUGUCCUAGGCAAAACUUCAGUGUGCCGACGCCAGAACAGAGGCUCUCAGCUGGAGUGUGAGAUGUUGGACUUUCUGGGGCAGUACAGCAAACCUACAGAUGGUUCAGUGCAGGGCCGGCUCCAGCCUUUUUGCCACCCCGAGCAGCGAAGGAAAAAAAAAAAAACUGAUUGAGCUGCCGCCGAAGUGCCUUAGAGGAAGACACGGAGAAAAGAACCCGCCACCAAACACUAAAGCGGAGCACCGCCCUGAUAACACUGGUCUACAGUUUUUGAGAAGUCGUCUGCUUCAGAGAUAAAAUGUGCUAUUUAUUAUGUAUUUUGAUGUGCUGAAUUCAAAUAUGACAAUUAAAACAACUGAUUGGCUACUGUUUCUAAGAGAUUUAAGUUUUUACAUUUUAUGUCUAUGUAUAUUGUGUAGAUAGUAGAGUUUUAAUCAUAAAUUGUAAACCUAGGUCUUUUCAUGUGUUUAUGGUUGCUUUACAUGAUAAUAUUUCACCUGUCCUGUUUAUGUAACACUUUAAAAAUCAGCAAAAGGGUUAUAUAAAUAAAAUUUAUU